CAGACACCACUAGGUGGCGCUGACAUCCCACCCUCAAAACUGUAAACAGCCUCCAGUACACAUGCGCGAAUUGAGUAAGCACGCUAAGCAUGCUGGGCCCGAGUCAUCAGGUGGGGUAAAGCGUGAGCAGCCAAUCAGGGUAUUGACACGUCACUUAGGUGCGACCCGGGCUUAUAUAAACAGCGCCACAUCGGGGCUCUCUCUCUCUCUCUUCCCCUCUCCUCCUCCCCCUCUCCCUGCCCUGGGCUUGUCGGCCCUGGCCGCGGCCCGUGGGAUGCCACGGCGUCUCUCGGCCAAUGCCCGCAGCCCUCUCCUCUCCUCUUUUCAUUGCGUGACUGUAAGAAAAGUUUUGUUGCGGGAGGAUCCUUGAGUCCACGUGCGUUUCUGCUGGCGAGAUGAUCACGCGGCUCCCAACAUCUGGUGCCGAAACCCGGGAACACCACCGGUACUGAGGAGAGCACCCGUUCGCCGGGAGGGAUUCAGAACCGCAACGUUGAGGAAGAAAACAAUCCAUUCUGGGUACCGGAGCGCCUCACGCGAAAGCUCGUGACAGCUGAAGAUGAUCUUUCAACAGAUACACCUGCUACUGCUUAAAGAGUCAAGGGUGGCGAGGAUGACCACUAAUUCUACUCGAGUAGAUUCAUUGCCCACAGAUUGGCUUUACCCUGGGUUUCUUCUGCCUUUUCUUACUUUAAGAUUGGGUGGGAGUUGGAAUGUUUGGUGCAGCGCUAUGUCGUGGCUUAGUGUUUUUUACUCUGGUUGUUCUGCAAACUGAAUACCCAAAACAAAUGUGACUAGGUCGCAAUCGUGCAAGUACUAGCAGCCUUGGAACAAGGAUCAUCUCCCAAAAAUUUGGUUAUCCAUGUUAAAAAAUUAAAACAGACUGUGACACUCAGUCGAUGCACCUCAGGGGUUUUACCCAUUGCACUGAGUUGAUGAGUGAUCCAAGUCUCAAUGUUUGCCUUUGCCUAAGUGGCUAUGGUACCUAAAUAGGAGAAUGACAGCCCUUGCACUCCCUGGAAUUUUAUUCCAUUGCAUGGGAAUGGGUGUCACCUCCUUCUUUAAUCUUCUCCCUUAGCCCCUGCACCCAGAGGACCUGUCUCCAUUGCACCUGGUGGGGUAAGGGAGUAAUCUAAAGCUCUUGAUCGCUUACUCCCCAAAGAAGGAGUUCACUUGAUCGAGCUUAGGGCCCUCUUGUACCGUGCUUAUAUAGGCUUUAAGGCAGUUUUCAUUUAUUUAAAACAAAAGGGGGAUGUGGAGAGCCGAGACUCAGACGCCACUAGGUGGCGCUGACAUCCCGCCCUCAAAACUGUAAACAGCCUCCAGUACACAUGCGCGAAUUGAGUAAGCAUGCUAAGCAUGCUGGGCCCGAGUCAUCAGGCGGGGUAAAGAGUGAGCAGCCAAUCAGGGUAUUGACACGUCACUUAGGUGCGACCCGGGCUUAUAUAAACAGCGCCACAUCGGGGCUCUCUCUCCUCCCCUCUCCUCCUCCCCCUCUCCACAGCCGGGGCCGACAUGCGGGACGCCGCAGCGUCUCUUGGCCAAUGCCCUCGGCCCUCUCCUCUCCUCUUUUCAUUGCGUGACUGUAAUAAAAGUUUUGUUGCGGGAGAA